rnacentral:rRNA from 1 species
GACGAACGCUGGCGGCGUGCUUAACGCAUGCAAGUCGAGCGGAAAGGCCACUUCGGUGGUACUCGAGCGGCGAACGGGUGAGUAACACGUGAGUAAUCUGCCCCUGGCUUUGGGAUAGCCACCGGAAACGGUGAUUAAUACCGGAUACGACCACUUCUCGCAUGGGAUGGUGGUGGAAAGUUUUUUCGGCCAGGGAUGUGCUCGCGGCCUAUCAGCUUGAUGGUGAGGUAAUGGCUCACCAUGGCUUCGACGGGUAGCCGGCCUGAGAGGGGGACCGGUCACACUUGGACUGAGACACGGCCCAGACUCCUACGGGAGGCAGCAGUGGGGAAUAUUGGACAAUGGGCGGAAGCCUGAUCCAGCAACGCCGCGUGAGGGAUGACGGCCUUCGGGUUGUAAACCUCUUUCAGCAGGGACGAAGCGCAAGUGACGGUACCUGCAGAAGAAGCACCGGCCAACUACGUGCCAGCCGCCGCUGUAACAC